ensembl:lncRNA
AUGUGGCCUCUCAGGAUCUAUGCACUGUCUGUGUGGGUCUGGAUCUUUAUGUCAUCGAUCUACCGACUGGGCACUGGGCUCCAUCAGUAUACAGCUGAUGAGCUCCUCCGGCUCCGCUUCUCCCUGGCUGCCCCACCGCUGGCAGCUCUUCAUCUCCACACGGACAUUGCCUUCCUCCCUCGCCGAAAGUACGUCCAUCGGGGCUCCCGUCGGUAUUUCCAUCAGGAUAAUUCCAAGCUAAUUCAGUCCUUCUGGUCCACCUCUGGUCGCUCUCAACGGAACCCUGGCAGGUCCGUUGACCACAAUGUUUUGGCUAACCUGCCUAGGUCGGCCAACACUCUCAUCCAGUCUGACAGUACGUCCGUCAACAUCGGCCUGCUUAAUAUCCGUUCGCUUACGAACAAAGGACAUCUCAUCCAGGAUCUCCUAACAGACCGUAAGUUUGACUUUUUCUGCUUGACUGAGACAUGGCAACAGCCCAAUGAUUUUUCGCAACUCAACGACUCCACCCCCCCGGGGUUUGUUUACACCUGCCAACCUUGCGAGUCCGGUCGUGGUGGUGGCCUCGCAGUAAUUUAUCGCAAGAACUGGAAAAUCUCGCCACUGUCAGUCCCUACCUACAGCUCCUUUGAAUCUGUUGUUUGUCAACUUUCAGGACCCACUCCAACUGUCAUAGCUGUCAUUUACCACCCCCCAAAAUUUAAUUCUGUUUUUAUAAGUGACUUUGCUGAUCUGCUGACCAACCUAGCUACUGUUUCCCCUAAUAUAAUAUUGCUGGGUGACUUCAACGUCCAUGUGGAUAACUGUGAUCAUCCUCUUACCAAGGACCUUUUAUCCUGCUUUGAUAGCUUCAGCCUUAAACAGUACAUAAACUUCCCUACCCACACUAAGGGCCAUACUUUGGACCAAGUCUGUUGUUCUGGACUUACCCCCUCCAACUGCACAGCUGACGAGCUGCUAAUCUCGGAUCAUCUACUUCUCUCCUUUAAUGUUCACAUGGCUUUCUCUAUAAUUAACAAUCCUCGUAUUAUUUCUUUCCGGAAUAUCAAGAAUAUAAAUCUUGAUAUCCUUUCUUCUGCUCUCUCUAGCUGCUUGUCUCCUAACAAUUUGGCUAUUCAAGAUAAUCUAGUAUUUUAUUAUAAUCAUAGCCUUAGUAGUAUUUUGAAUUCUCUUGCUCCACAAAAAAACAGAACUGUACUCUUUUCUUGCUCUGCACCCUGGUACACACCUGAACUCCGACUAUUGAAAGCUAAAGGUCGACGGCUUGAAAGUCUUUAUAAGAAAACUGGCCUUACUAUUCAUAAGGAUAUGUUUAAUAACCAUGUUCUGUUUUAUCAGGAAUGUAUCAGUCAAACCAAAUCUGCCUAUUAUUCUACCAUUGUCUGUUCAAGUGAGAACUCCACCAAGACCCUAUUCUCAUUAUUCAACUCCUUUAACAGGCCACCUGAUUCUCUGCCCGCUCAUCUCUAUUCAUCUAACUUCUGCGACUCUCUAAUGCUAUUCUUCACUGACAAAAUUCAUAAAAUACACCUAGAUUUGGUCCCUAAUAUAACAUUCAGUUCCACUGCUAUGCCAAUGACACCCAGCUUUACCUCUCUACCAAACCCGAUUCUACUCUUCCUCCACCCUCCCUCACCCUCUGCUUAG